rnacentral:tRNA from 1 species
CGGGAUGUAAUUCAGCGGCCAGAAGCUAUGCUUUGGGAGCAUGGAGUCGCAGGUUCAAAUCCUGCCAUCCCGA